UACGGAGGGUGCUAGCGUUGUUCGGAAUCACUGGGCGUAAAGCGCGUGUAGGCGGCCCACUAAGUCUGAUGUGAAAGCCCGGGGCUCACCCCCGGAAGUGCAUUGGAAACUGGCGGACUCGAGUCCCGGAGAGGAGGGUGGAAUUCCUGGUGUAGCGGUGAAAUGCGUAGAUAUCAGGAGGAACACCGGUGGCGAAGGCGGCCCUCUGGACGGUGACUGACGCUGAGACGCGAAAGCGUGGGGAGCAAACAGG
rnacentral:rRNA from 1 species